ACUCCUACGGGAGGCAGCAGUGAGGAAUAUUGGACAAUGGGGGCAACCCUGAUCCAGCCAUGCCGCGUGGAGAAAGACGGCCUUUGGGUUGUAAACUCCUUUAUAUGAGACUAAUAAGGUGGUAUACUCACCGAUGCAGGUACCAUAUGAAUAAGCACCGGCUAACUACGUGCCAGCAGCCGCGGUAAUACGUAGGGUGCAAGCGUUGUCCGGAUUUAUUGGGUUUAAAGGGUGCGUAGGCGGUUUAUUAAGUCAGUGGUUAAAUACUGAGGCUCAACCUUGGUCCGCCAUUGAUACUGAUAGACUUGAGUAUGUUAGAGGAAAUUGGAAUGUGUGGUGUAGCGGUGAAAUGCAUAGAUAUCACACAGAACACCGAUUGCGAAGGCAGAUUUCUAUAACACAACUGACGCUGAGGCACGAAAGCGUGGGAGCGAACAGGAUUAGAUACCCCUGGUAGACUGUCA
rnacentral:rRNA from 1 species